CAUAUAUGAAGAUAACCGGGCCUUUCAAACACUUUCUGGCUAUAACGAACUUUGUCAUCCAAUUCCCGCCUCAGCAGUUCCAAAUCCUUCUCUCUUUUAAGAAUAAGAUCCUGUAAACAGCUUUGCUCUUCACCAGAUUUUUCCAGAAAUUCCUUUUUCAGGUGCUCAAUUUCUUCUUUCAAACUGUUUUCCUCUUCUGUCUCAGGC
rnacentral:lncRNA from 1 species